GGUGGGAAUGAUUAAAAGUUAAAUAUAAUUGUUAUCUGUUUGAGAUAUAUGAAUAAUUUUGAUAAAAUGUUCAGAAAGUGUUAUUUCACAAAACCCUGCCCUCAACUCAAGAUCAAAUGGUAUUGAAUUAUGGUUUUCUCAGGGUAUAUGCUGAGUAGUGGGACUGCUGGGUCAUACGGUAGUUCUAUUUUCAUUGCAGCACUAUUUACAAUAGCCAGGACGUGGAAGCAACCUAAGUGUCCAUCGACAGAUGAAUGGAUAAAGAAGAUGUGGCACAUGUAUACAAUGGAAUGUUACUCAGCCAUUAAAAGGAACGAAAUUGAGUUACUUGUAGUGAUGUGGAUGGACCUAGAAGCUGUCAUACAGAGUGAAAAAAAAUGACUAAGUGUGAGUAACACUAAAAUAAACUUCCUGUAAAUUGCGAGAGGGAUACAUUGAAGGGGAGAAAAGCUCAGUGUUUCUACCACCGUUUGUGAAUUGUGUUACCAUGGAAACUGGUACCAUAAAACAGGCCACUUUGUUAUUCGACAAAGUAUUUAUUAGUUUCUGCAAUCAAAAAAGAAAACAAAAGGGGAUUUGAAAACAUUUUCAAGACCUCAGAAAGGAACUCCAGGACUUCCCCGGUGACACAGUGGUUGGGAGUCCUCCUGCCAGUGCGGGGGACACGGCUUAAAGCCCUGUUCCAGGAGGAUCCCACAUGCCGUGGAGCAACUAAGCCUGCGAGCCACAACUACUGAGCCCGCGUGCUGCAGCUGCUGAGGCCCGCACGCCUGGAGCCCGUGCUCCUCAGCGGGAGAGGCCACUGCAGUGAGAGGUCCUCGCACCGUGGUGAAGAGCGGCCCCUGCUCGCCACAGCUGGGGAGGGCCUGCAUGCAGCAACGAAGACCCAACGCAGCAAAAAAUAAAUUAAUUAAAUAAAUUUUUUAAAAAAUGAACUCCAUAUCCAUUAGUAGUCACUCCCCAUCUCCUACUCCCCCCACUCCCUGGAACCACUAAUGGACUCUAUGGAUUUGCCUGUUCUGGUCAUUUCAGAUAAAUGCAAUCAUAUACUACGUGGCCUUUUCUGUCUGGCUUCUUUCACUUAGCAUGUUUUCAAGGUUCAUCUUUUUGUGGCAUGUAUCAUAACUUCAUUCCAUUUUAUGGCCAAAAAAUAUUCUGUUGUAUGGCUAUCCCACAUUUUGUUAUUC